GAGAAGGGCGCCCCUAAAGAGUGGGCCGCGAAGAUGUCGGCGCUCCUCCCGUCUCCGCCCGCUCAGUGAAAGUGGAAGGCCGGCCCCGCCCCCUGUCUCCGGGGUCGUUCGCUAAGCCCACUGCGGUAUUCCAUUGGAGCGCCAAGUUGGGGGGCGGCCGACCAUUGGUUCCGACUGAAGCUAAGCAAACCACUGAAAUGGUUCUAAGGGGGAGGUUUCCCGGGCGUGAGUGGCGCCGGUCCCGAGCCUCUCACGGUAGCGCGGUCCACCCAGCCGGGGCCGCAGUGCCUGGCUUGCCGGCCCUGCGCAACGUGGCAGGAAGAGCGGUGGGCAGGACCCGCUCCAGCGGAAAGCUUUAGGCCUGCGGGUCGGUCGGGUGGUAGGGCGCCCUCGUCAACUGCCCCGUCUCUGCGGGGAGCCCCUCCUUAGGGGCGACCCCUCUCCCGGUUCCGAGGCGGCCCCCAGGCGACCAGAGGCCGACUCCAGAGAGAAGGGAGGGAGGAAAGAAGGAAGGGAAGCGAUCGGGUUCGGUUCGGGGUUCCUCUCGGGCGUCGGAAGAGCAAGCCCUAAGCGAUGUUAGGGUGGGACGUUCCCAAACUGGAAAGAAACGCCUUCCCAUCCGGCCAUCCAGCCCCCCGUCCGAGGGGGUGGGGGGGGCUUCAGCGGAAGGGGAGAGGCCUCCCUUCUCGCCUGCCCUGCUGGGGCUAGAGCCCGAGUGAGGCUGCAAGUCCAUCCGGCCCGAUCCUUUCCCUGGUCCAGAGGGGACCCUGGAGCCCCCUCCCUCCCUCCUCCUCCUCCUCGCCCGCCCUCACUUGAUUCCUUUGCCCUUCUCCUCCGGCGCCAGAGGCCCUCCUUCUCUCGGGGAGAGCGAUUAACGAGGGUUCUAACGGCCGGGGAAACCCUUAAAACCCGGAGCGCUUCCCGGCACUCCACACAGGAAUCUGCCGUUUCCUCCUUCAUUCCUCCCACCCCUCAACGCCGCCCUUCCAGUAGCGCAGCAUUCCCCUGCCCCGUGUUUUCACCUCUUUCCCAUCCACACUGGGGGGAGCGAUCCUCGUAGGGCAGGUUUUACCUUCCUGUCUGAAGAAUUAGGCAAAAAAGGGGUAGGGGGAAAGUCCCAAAGAAGUGGGCAGAUGCAUAAACGAGCCCCAAUUAAUCACUGAUCUACCUUCUAGCCCCCAACUGCCACUUCAGCCCUUUCAGCGCUGCACGAAGCGGUUGGGAGCGUACAAUCGAGUAAGACACAAUCCUAGACCUCCAGGAGUUUACCUCCAUCCUUAAGUACUCAGACACAGAGAGCAAAAUUUAUUCCAGACCCUGCAUCUUGAUGUAUGCUAUUUCCUUCGAACAAAGAGCCCUUUCCCCAAGCUCUGCUGGAGUGGAAGUGAGAGUGCACGACCCAGUACGUAACCACAGAUGCUAAAGCAGGUGUCUGCUUCUCCACCCCUUCCCCCUCCCCCCCAAUUUAGCCUGGGACUGCACGACCUAAACGUUUAAUAAACACCAUACCGACUCUCAAUAACCGGCGAGCUGGUGGGUGAGUUUGUGGAGCGGGCAUGCAGUUUAAAAACAAUGCAUGUUGAGGGGAGGAAGCAAAAUACCAACCAUGCAGAUUGAUACUCGUCUACUUAACUGAAGUAAAAAUCCACCCAGGCAAGUAAUGAAAGAAGCAUCUUGUAAGUGCAACUAUUUUAGAUUAGAUUUGUUAUUCCACUUCCCUGGUGGCUCUGGGUAGUUCUGGCAGCUUCCCCAGCUUUGAGAAGAAAUGCGGGGAUGAUGUUAAAUGGCCUUGAAGUGUGUGGCCUGUCCGCCUAACAAGCUCCAUUUGCCUUCGCAGUUAUUUGGUCACGAUGAGGCAAAGUUGUCUCAACUCAGAACUUCUAGCUCUGAAUUGAUUCAAAAUGCCAUCUUCCCAUCAGACUGAGCAAAUAGUUUUGGGAAGAGGAAAACUCCCCAAAUCUUCUGAAACCUAGAUAGCUGGGAACCCUGAUCACAGCUCCGAGACCCUCUCAGGUCCCUGCUACCAAGUUCAGGAGAAGCUCUGGAAUCGAUAGCACCUUUCAGUCAAGGCUGGACAACCAUCAGUCAAUCAACCAAUCAAUGGCAUUGACUGAGCAUUUAUUGUGUGUAGAGCACUGUUCUAAACUCUUGGGAGAUUAUAAUAUGACAGAUUUGGUAGAGUGUGGAAGGAACCCAGGGUAACAGGGGGACAACAUGCUGUAGUGGAAAGGGCAUGGGGCUGAGUCAAGGAUCCUGGAUCCCAAUCCUGCACACAGUAAAGCGUUCAAUAAAUGCGAUUGAAUGAAUGAACUGAUCUCUUUGGACCUCAAUUUCUAUAAAAUGAGGGGAAUUCUUCUCCCUCUCCAACGUCACAGAGAUAUUGUCAGGACAAAUGAGCUGAUGUGAAUGGCUCUUUGGGGAGGAAAGAGCAUCAUAUGAAUUGAAGUUACCAUUAUUAUCAUCGUUAUUCUUAAAGCCCUCAGCCUGUCUUUUCUUCGAUUCCCUCUCUGCCAACAAAACCUCAAUCCAUGCAGAGGGAAAGGAAAUUGUCCAGUUCUUUUGUGUACAGGUUCCUAGUGGCAAUGGUUGGUGUGAUGUUUGUUGUGUCAUCUUCAGCUACCUCUUCUGUUUUCUCCCUGCACUCCUCUCCUCCUCCUCACUGCCUCCUGCUAUCACUUCAUUCCUACUGUAAUCCUUCCUAUUGCAUUUUCCUUUUCUUUCUACAAAGCAUCAGUCUGGCUUCCCAGACCCAAACCUAAGCCAGACCCUGAAACAUCAAAAAGUUUUUUUGUUUUAAAAAGCAGAGGAUGGAAUUUUCCCUUUUAAAAAUGCUGUUUGUAUGUCCAUGCCUUUUUAUGUACAUCUGUUUCACCUGCAUUCUUACAACUUUAGUUUUAUAAACUAUUACUGGGUAAACACUGACUUGUUAGUAAAAAUCUGUUUGACGACUGUGUCUAGCAGUGUGUAUUUGUUGGUGAUUGAC